GAAUCUGAUCUCUCUUGACUUAUGGAGAAGUAGGAUAUCAGAGACUGGACUAGACUAUAUUGCUGAGAAUUGUAAACACAUUGAGGAGUUAGAUCUAGGCUGGUGUUCAAAUCUGAAGGCAGGGACUUACUGUUUUAUUGAUCUUGUAAAGAAGUGUCCAAACAUUAAGAAGUUAUACUUGACUGCCAAUAGGACUAUUUCUAAUGAGGACCUCUUAGCGUUCUGUAAGUACUGCCCACAGUUGGAGCAGUUAGACAUCUUAGGUACUGGCAAUGUCGGUCGGGAGAGUGUUUUCAGUGUCCUAACACAAUGUCAGAAGCUGAUAUUUCUAGAUGUAUCAUUCUGCGCUAAUGUUGAUGUGGACGCUGUUACACUAUGGUCCACACAGUUUCCAAGAUGUAGCAUCAAGCGAAGCUUUCAGGACUAGCUCUCUGUAGAGAAAUCUUAAUUGAAAUACAGUCAAACUUUGAUAUCUCUGUCCCUCACAGUACCUUUCAUAAAUCAUCAAAUCACCCCAAAUUGUUCAGAUAUCAGGGAAAAAGCAGUAGAUUUUUUUAAAGACACUUUGGGUCUGUUGAUCAUUAUCAUUUCUACUACCCCUCUUCUUUAAGCAAUUUGUCAAAAAAAGUCAGUUUUCUGGCCUUUUGAACUUUAUUGUUUGGUCGCUAAUAGUGCAGUAAACCUACUGCUCUAAUAUCUGAACAAACUGGGAUAAUAUUUCUUUUUAUGAAGGUACUGUCGAUAUUGAGAUCCAAAAGUUUAGCUGCAUUUGCAUUUCUUAUUAAGAUCUCUCCUUAUUUACUGUUUUAGAGCUUAAAGCAUAUUUUGCAUUUGUUAUUAAGCUCUCUAUAUAUUCUCUGUUUUAGAGGUUAAGGUAUAAACACAAGCAAUUUACAAUUAACAUAUGAUUUUAAUUCUUUUAAUUGUAUUUUUUAUUUAAUAAUUAAUCAAAGAAAUUUUUAAAUGAUAAUGUAUACAUUUUAUAUGUAUAUAUAUUUUCAGGAGUGAUUCCAUUAAUUUCAAUUUUAAUUUUUUUGGGGGGGGGAUCAAUUUUUUCUUUUUAGUUUGAAAUGGAACAGAUAGUUAGUAUUUAAUUUGAGUGAUAAACUCAAACAAAUAAUUUUUUAGUAUUAUAUGUAGUCAUAAGAAGUUACUGAAGCAUCACAUCGGGUCACUUAAUUUUUUUUUUGCUAAUUUCUCCAUGGCACCUGAUCCCCCCUCUGAUGUUUCAGAGGCCCCGUGUUUGCUUUGCUCCAGUACUGUAUUGUUUAAUGGACUUUUGAGCUUGAAUUCUCGCCUGUUUGUUAUCUCCAUAUAUCUUAUGUUUCAGUAUGUGCCUUUCAUGUUACUGAAGACAGCUGUGAUAUCACUUAUUUGUUUAUAUUUGUUUAAUAUGUUUGUUAUAUGGCACAUUGCUUAAAGAUUGGGGGUGGAAAAUUGUUUGCAAUCAGUAGAGUUUCAAAAUUUUAAAUUAAUAUGAUGAUCGAUAUGUGUAUGAUGGCAUUUCUGGAAUUUUAUAUUAAGUGGAUUAGUU